AGCCAAAAAGUUUUAGUUAAACAUAUAUUUUGAAAAUAUAAAAAAAAGGUUAGACUCCUUUAUUGGUUU
rnacentral:tRNA from 1 species